rnacentral:rRNA from 1 species
GAUGAACGCUGGCGGCGUGCCUAAUACAUGCAAGUCGAGCGAACGGACGAGAAGCUUGCUUCUCUGAUGUUAGCGGCGGACGGGUGAGCAACACGUGGAUAACCUACCUAUAAGACUGGGAUAACUUCGGGAAACCGGAGCUAAUACCGGAUAAUAUUUUGAACCGCAUGGUUCAAAAGUGAAAGACGGUCUUGCUGUCACUUAUAGAUGGAUCCGCGCUGCAUUAGCUAGUUGGUAAGGUAACGGCUUACCAAGGCAACGAUGCAUAGCCGACCUGAGAGGGUGAUCGGCCACACUGGAACUGAGACGCGGUCCAGACUCCUACGGGAGGCAGCAGUAGGGAAUCUUCCGCAAUGGGCGAAAGCCUGACGGAGCAACGCCGCGUGAGUGAUGAAGGUCUUCGGAUCGUAAAACUCUGUUAUUAGGGAAGAACAUAUGUGUAAGUAACUGUGCACAUCUUGACGGUACCUAAUCAGAAAGCCACGGCUAACUACGUG